rnacentral:rRNA from 1 species
UCGGGAAUUUUGGGCAAUGGGGGAAACCCUGAUCCAGCAACGCCGUGUGAGUGAUGAAGGUCUUCGGAUUGUAAAGCUCUGUUAGCCGGGAAAAAACUCGUGAGCAUCAGAUCCUCACGAUUGAUGGUACCGGCAGAGGAAGCACCGGCUAACUCUGUGCCAGCAGCCGCGGUAAUACAGAGGGUGCAAGCGUUAUUCGAAAUUAUUGGGCGUAAAGCGCAAGUAGGUGGUGAGAUAAGUCUUGUGUGAAAUACUCGGGCUCAACCCGAGAGGGUCAUGAGAAACUGUCUCGCUAGAGUACAAUAGGGGAGAGCGGAAUUCCCAGUGUAGUAGUGAAAUACGUAGAUAUUGGGAGGAACACCGGUGGCGAAGGCGGCUCUCUGGAUUGUUACUGACACUCAGUUGCGAAAGCGUGGGGAUCAAACAGGAUUAGAUACCCGGGUAGUCCCUGAGCGGGCUGGCAAGGCGCAU